CAGAGUGCUAGGAUUACAGGCGUGAACCACCGCGCCCGGCCCAAGGAGGCAAAUUCUUGAUCACAGCCCCAGAAGGAGCCAGUCCUGCUGACGGCCUGAUUCCAGACUUGCAGCCUCCAGAACUGCGAGACAGGACGUUUCUGCUGGUGCAGCUGCCCGGCCUGUGGCAGGUUGUCUCAGACCAACUUUGGGAGAAGAUUGCCUGAAAUGACAACAUUGUAGAAUGCAGCAGGAUGUCUAUUUGUCUGCAUCUCGCCUGGAGUUCGUCAGUCCAGAGACUUUCUCCAGUUUCCAAAAGCACCACAGAGAGCCACGCCGUCCCCUCCUGGCCCUGUCCAAGUGGCACAGGGAGCUUCUGGGCUCCCUGGCCGGCGCUGGUUUGCAGCCUGAGCCCAGCCCCGGGAACAUUUCUUGAAUGAAUGAACGAAUGCACCGACUUUGGAGGCCCAUGGUGGCAUCGCACGCAGCACGACAGGGAAGCAUCGGAACAAAGCAGGGAAGUGAAUCCAUCAGGGAGUGGGAAUGUGAAACUGCAAGCUGAGAAAA